AGUGAACGCUGGCGGUAGGCCUAACACAUGCAAGUCGAACGGCAGCACAGGAGAGCUUGCUCUCUGGGUGGCGAGUGGCGGACGGGUGAGGAAUACAUCGGAAUCUACUUUUUCGUGGGGGAUAACGUAGGGAAACUUACGCUAAUACCGCAUACGACCUACGGGUGAAAGCAGGGGACCUUCGGGCCUUGCGCGAUUGAGUGAGCCGAUGUCGGAUUAGCUAGUUGGCGGGGUAAAGGCCCACCAAGGCGACGAUCCGUAGCUGGUCUGAGAGGAUGAUCAGCCACACUGGAACUGAGACACGGUCCAGACUCCUACGGGAGGCAGCAGUGGGGAAUAUGGGACAAUGGGCGCAAGCCUGAUCCAGCCAUACCGCGUGGGUGAAGAAGGCCUUCGGGUUGUAAAGCCCUUUUGUUGGGAAAGAAAUCCAGCUGGCUAAUACCCGGUUGGGAUGACGGUACCCAAAGAAUAGCACCGGCUAACUUCGUGCCAGCAGCCGCAGUAA
rnacentral:rRNA from 1 species